AUUUUAGUAUUCCAAAUUAAUUAGAAUGAAUGCAUAAAUUAUGCUACAACAAUCAUAAUGUAUUAUUAAACCAUCUUAAGCACUUAUCUUUAGUAAUUUAUUAAAAUUUGCAAUUUUUUAAAAUUUUAAUAGGUUAUAAUGUAUACAAUGAUUCAAACAAUAAUGUAUGGCAUCCAUCUUUUUAUAUAUCAUAUCUCUUGCUUAACCUUAGAACAAUAUGUUUGUUUUUAAAUACAUAACUAUUUAAGAAAAUAAUAAAUAACAAGAUUAAACACAUGAGUUGAAAUACAUUGGAAAGAUAUUUUUAGCAAAUAAAAUAGUCCAUGUAUAUUUAAUUAAAUAUUAAAUACUGAUCAUAUUUGAAACUACAUAAAAAUAGAUUGUUUCUCAUGUUGUGAAGAUAAUGUUUUGUUAGCUUAGUUAAAAUGUCAUAGAUAUCUAUUUCACUUAGAUAAAUAAAAGUCCAUAGAAUAUAUAUAUAUAUAUAUAUAGAAAAAAUCAGGUGUAUAGAUCACAGUAACGAUUUUCUGGGAUAACCAAUGUAAUAGUAGAAAAAAUAUCUGCAAAAGCUCUUCACAAAGCAUUGUUUCUUUAUA
rnacentral:lncRNA from 1 species